UGAGCGAGAAAGUGAUGGAAUCAAUGCAAGGGAAUCCCAAAAAGCAAUUGACCAAGAAGAUGGCUCUAUGGAGAAAAAAGGCGAAAGCAUGCUAACAGGAGAAAAGGAGGCAUCUAAUGAAACAGGAAAUGCAAAAACGAAGAAGUCAUAUAAAACCAAAACACCAAGAGGUCCUACAAGAAAUUUACAACUGGCUAAAAUGAGACCCGGUGAGAAGAUAAAGGUAGAUUUUGAUGUUAGUGGUCAACCAAUAGGUGUCAACAGAGCUAAGCUGUCAAGUUACUGUG